GACGAACGCUGGCGGCGCGCUUAACACAUGCAAGUCGAACGGAAAGGCCUGCUUUCCCUUGUGGAUUGCGGGUACUCGAGUGGCGAACGGGUGAGUAACACGUGAGUGAUCUGCCCCCAACUUGGGUAUAAGCCUGGGAAACUGGGUCUAAUUCCCGAUAGGACUGCAGGGUGGUGCCUGUGGUGGAAAACGAUUUUCUAGUGGUUGGGGAUGAGCUCGCGGCCUAUCAGCUGGUUGGUGGGGUAAUGGCCUACCAAGGCGGCGACGGGUAGCCGGCCUGAGAGGGUGGACGGCGACAUUGGGACUGAGAUACGGCCCAGACUCCUACGGGAGGCAGCAGUGGGGAAUAUUGCACAAUGGGCGGAAGCCUGAUGCAGCGACGCCGCGUGGGGGAUGACGGCCUUCGGGUUGUAAACUCCUUGCGACCGCGAGGAAGCCACCUGGUUGGAAGGGUGGUGACGGUAGUGGUAGAAGAAGCACCGGCUAACUACGUG
rnacentral:rRNA from 1 species